AGUGCAUGUGGUGGAUGCCUUGGCAGUCAGAGGCGAUGAAAGACGUGAUAGCCUGCGAAAAGCUCCGGGGAGGCGGCAAAUAUCCUUUGAUCCGGAGAUGUCUGAAUGGGGGAACCCACCUACUUUAAGGUAGGUAUUGCAACAUGAAUACAUAGUGUUGCAAGGCGAACGAGGGGAAGUGAAACAUCUCAGUACCCUUAGGAAAAGAAAUCAAUUGAGAUUCCCUCAGUAGCGGCGAGCGAACGGGGAUCAGCCCAUUAAGUUAUGUGUGUUUUAGUGGAACGCUCUGGGAAGUGCGAACGUAGAGGGUGAUAUUCCCGUACACGAAAGGGCACACAUAAUGAUGACGAGUAGGGCGAGGCACGUGAAACCUUGUCUGAAUAUGGGGGGACCAUCCUCCAAGGCUAAAUACUCCUGACUGACCGAUAGUGAACCAGUACCGUGAGGGAAAGGCGAAAAGAACCCCUGUGAGGGGAGUGAAAUAGAUCCUGAAACCGCAUGCAUACAAGCAGUGGGAGCACCUUCGUGGUGUGACUGCGUACCUUUUGUAUAAUGGGUCAGCGACUUAUAUUCAGUAGCGAGGUUAACCGUAUAGGGGAGCCGUAGAGAAAUCGAGUCUUAAUAGGGCGUUUAGUUGCUGGGUAUAGACCCGAAACCAGGCGAUCUAUCCAUGAGCAGGUUGAAGGUUGGGUAACACUAACUGGAGGACCGAACCCACUGUCGUUGAAAAGCCAGGGGAUGACUUGUGGAUAGGGGUGAAAGGCUAAUCAAGCCUGGUGAUAGCUGGUUCUCCCCGAAAGCUAUUUAGGUAGCGCCUCGGACGAAUACCAUAGGGGGUAGAGCACUGUUUCGGCUAGGGGGUCAUCCCGACUUACCAAACCGAUGCAAACUCCGAAUACCUAUGAGUACUAUCCGGGAGACAGACUGCGGGUGCUAACGUCCGUAGUCAAGAGGAAAACAAUCCAGACCGCCAGCUAAGGCCCCAAAAUCAUAGUUAAGUGGGAAACGAUGUGGGAAGGCAUAGACAGCUAGGAGGUUGGCUUAGAAGCAGCCACCCUUUAAAGAAAGCGUAAUAGCUCACUAGUCGAGUCGGCCUGCGCGGAAGAUGUAACGGGGCUAAAACUAUGUGCCGAAGCUGCGGAUGUAUACUUUGUAUACGUGGUAGGGGAGCGUUCUGUAAGCCGAUGAAGGUGUGUUGAGAAGCAUGCUGGAGGUAUCAGAAGUGCGAAUGCUGACGUGAGUAACGACAAAACGGGUGAAAAACCCGUUCGCCGAAAGACCAAGGGUUCCAGUCCAACGUUAAUCGGGGCUGGGUGAGUCGACCCCUAAGGCGAGGCCGAAAGGCGUAGUCGAUGGGAAAAUGGUUAAUAUUCCAUUACUUCUGUGUAAUGCGAUGAGAGGACGGAGAAGGCUAAAUCAGCCUGGCGUUGGUUGUCCAGGUGAAAGGAUGUAGGCAUGUAUCUUAGGCAAAUCCGGGGUACUCUAUGCUGAGAUCUGAUAGCAAGCUGUACUUGUACAGCGAAGUGGUUGAUGCCAUGCUUCCAGGAAAAGUCUCUAAGCUUCAGUUACACAGGAAUCGUACCCGAAACCGACACAGGUGGUCAGGUCGAGUAGACCAAGGCGCUUGAGAGAACUCUGCUGAAGGAACUAGGCAAAAUGGUACCGUAACUUCGGGAGAAGGUACGCUGUUGUUGGUGAUGGAACUCGCUUCCUGAGCUGACGACAGCCGCAGAAACCAGGCCGCUGCAACUGUUUAUUAAAAACAUAGCACUCUGCAAACACGAAAGUGGACGUAUAGGGUGUGAUGCCUGCCCGGUGCUGGAAGGUUAAUUGAUGGGGUUAGCGUAAGCGAAGCUCUUGAUCGAAGCCCCAGUAAACGGCGGCCGUAACUAUAACGGUCCUAAGGUAGCGAAAUUCCUUGUCGGGUAAGUUCCGACCUGCACGAAUGGCAUAAUGAUGGCGGCGCUGUCUCCAGCAGAGGCUCAGUGAAAUCGAAAUCGCUGUGAAGAUGCAGUGUACCCGCGGCUAGACGGAAAGACCCCGUGAACCUUUACUGCAGCUUGACACUGAACUUUGACCUUACUUGUGUAGGAUAGGUGGGAGGCUUUGAAGCUGGAACGCUAGUUCCAGUGGAGCCGUCCUUGAAAUACCACCCUGGUAAUGUUGAGGUUCUAACUCUGUCCCGUGAUCCGGGACGAGGACCGUGUCUGGUGGGUAGUUUGACUGGGGCGGUCUCCUCCUAAAGAGUAACGGAGGAGUACGAAGGUGCGCUCAGCGUGGUCGGAAAUCACGCGUAGAGUAUAAAGGCA
rnacentral:rRNA from 1 species